rnacentral:lncRNA from 10 species
UCUGAUUAUAUUUUUGUGUUUGUAGUGCUAUAUAAAUUGGCAUCAGCUGAGUCUUCUAAUGCAUUCAUAAAUUGUGUUCAUUUGUUAGAGACAAAAAGAAAGAAGACAAAGAAAAGAAACGUUCUAAAACACCACCAAAAAGUUACAGCACAGCCAGACGUUCUAGAAGUGCAAGCAGAGAGAGACGACGACGAAGAAGCAGGAGUGGCACAAGAUCUCCUAAAAAGCCUCGGUCUCCUAAAAGAAAAUUGUCCCGCUCACCAUCCCCUAGGAGACAUAAAAAGGAGAAGAAGAAAGAUAAAGACAAAGAAAGAAGUAGGGAUGAAAGAGAACGAUCAACAAGCAAGAAGAAGAAGAGUAAAGAUAAGGAAAAGGACCGGGAAAGAAAAUCAGAGAGUGAUAAAGAUGUAAAAGUUACACGGGAUUAUGAUGAAGAGGAACAGGGGUAUGACAGUGAGAAAGAGAAAAAAGAAGAGAAGAAACCAAUAGAAACAGGUUCCCCUAAAACAAAGGAAUGUUCUGUGGAAA